AUGAACUCUUCUCCAGUUUUAGUGACUGUGAUGCUGUUCAUGCUUGGGAGGACACAUGGAGACUCAGUGACUCAGAAACAAGGUCAAGUGAUCCUCUCAGAAGACGACUUUCUAUUUAUAAACUGUACUUAUUCAGCCACAGGGUACCCGACUCUUUCCUGGUAUGUUCAAUAUCCUGGAGAAGGUCCACAGCUCCUUCUGCAAGUCACAACAGCCAACAAAAAGGGAAGAAACAAAGGUUUUGAAGCUACAUAUGAUAAAGGAACUACGUCCUUCCACUUGCAGAAAGCCUCAGUACAGGAGUCAGAUUCGGCUGUGUACUACUGUGCUUUGAAUGACACAGUGACAGAAACCAUAGGGGGAGCUGAACACAAACUCUGA